rnacentral:lncRNA from 1 species
UUGUCUGGAUGGAAAUCGUAAACAAACUCCAAAGCCUUAAAUAUUUGGAAAAGUGAGGCCUCACCAAUCAGAAACUUAUGAAAUCCAAAAUAAACCGGUAAAUAAGUUCUUCUCAAACGCAAUUCCUCUGCUCAUUUUAUAUCUUAUACGCAACUCAAUAAAGGGUUUAUGGGGCUUGUGUGCCCAACACUUUUCUGAAUUGCUCCAAAAUAUAUUUCCAAUCAAAUCCAUAAUUUCAACGUGCAUUCCAUAGAAGUCCAAAGCUCAAAACUCCAAAGUAUUAUAAUAAUAAUCCCCUAUUAUCAAGCAAAAAGCUAUACUGCAAAAACAAAAACUUGGAUAUAGUGUCUAAAAAACUUCUUUAAUAUGCUUUUCUCUUCUGUAUGGAACACAAGUUCUUUCUAUUCCACCCCCAUCUCAGGUGGAGUAUCUUCAGGCUUUGCGUUUCGUCUCUGAAACUGAUCGAGCUCUUCUUGAGGGAACACUUCAGAUUGCAGAGACGGAGAUAUCUUCUUAACAUGAAGCCAAGUAAGUUGCCAGAAACUAUCACUACCGAUAUCAUCACCUGGUAAUAGAACACCCGUUGUCUUCAUCACCAGCAACGUGUUCUUCAGCAGUUCCGGUAUGAGUUCAUGGACUUUCUCGCUGCGUUUUCCUCUGAACUUGGUCGACAUGUAAGUCCCCAUACGGUCCAAUACACCAAGCCAGAGUCUGCAGAACGAUGGUUGCUGCGAGAUGUCUUGGAGAGACUGAAGAAAAGCCUUUGACAUGAGCUUUGUGGCGAGCACAAGCGUUUCUUCAACCGUUUUCUUGAAUGUCUUUCUUGAAUUUUCGACUGAAACAGCGAGCAAUUCGUCUAGCAAUGGGAAGAUUGCGGAGUCGAAGCACUGGAACCAUAGAGGUUGCGGUAACAUGAUCCCGUCUGCACCGGCUACAGAUCUCUGCAGCAUCAAGAUCGCGUGGUUUCUCACUUGGUCGCGUUGAUCAAGACAAACUCUUUUGAGGUUGUUCACGAGCCUGAGCCACAUUUCUCCAAUAUCUUGGCUUAGUUUCAUCAUAGCUUCAUCUUCUCCCACCGAUUUUUUCGCCUCUUGAGACCACCUCGCAAGACAGAACACAGAGUUUGACAUUAAGUCGAUGGCUGAUAUAGACCUAUCGAUUUCGCCGACUCGGGAUUCAGCAAACUGUCUAGCUGCAUCUAAACAGAGAAUGUAGUUUGAUGGUAGCAAGUGAGCUCCUUCUGACAUUAUAAACCGGAGAGCUUCAAAUCCAGCAUCAGAAGCUUCUGGAUGCCGAGCUGUGAUUGAUAACAGAGAUAUGAUUGUUCGCCAACCAACAUGAGAUCUGACAUGAGAUGCAUUCGCUUUUACAAGACGGUUAUGCAAAAAUUAUAUGUUUAUAAACAUCCAUCUUUACACUUGGAAUUCAAAUGAAGUUUGUGAACUAAUUACUUUGAAACUUUAAAAGAUAAACAAACAAAGUUUUAUACAUGUAACUUCCAAUCUUGAAAAAGAUGAAUAAUACUUCAUUUGAGGUUAAGAAAUCAAAAGCAACAACAAACAAACACAUUAUUGAACACAAGAAAACUUGGCAAGCGAAAUACAAACAAACACAUGAAAUUUCCCAUGCCAAGAAGUCUAUUAUCAAACAAAUUGGGCAUCUCAAAAUAACUAUUACUACGACUGAUUUUGAACCAAUGUGGUAUAUCUUAUUGUAGGCAGUGGCAAACCUAAGUUGACUAGGGAGAAGGCAGUUGCCCCCACAAAAAUAUAGAAAUAAAUGUAUUUGCAUAAGAAACAACAAGCUUUUCGUAGCAUAGAUGGUUUCAGUUCUUUACCUGCCUCUCCUAGACCACGGUUUGAAUUCCCUUCUAGCCAUAUAUUUCCCUUUCAUUUAUUUUAUGUCCCCACAAAAAUUUUAUCCUAGAUUCGCCACUGAUUGUAGGGUGAUUAGAAACAUAUCUAAAAUCAACAAUCUCUAUAUUGUACUUAAGAAUGCAAUCAGUUAAAUGGAAUCUCUAUCUAACAUGCACAACCAAUCUUAUUUAGUAUAACAAACCGUUCAAACUCUCUACUUUUAACUUUUGUUAAAUUAAAUAAUUUUAAGAAUUAUACAUGUUCCUUAUAUUCAUUACGGUAUUAACAGUGAGUCUGUGUAGACUUGUACCUUUUUGAUAUGGAGUAAAGAGAGAAACAGAUUAGUGGUUUUGAAUCGAGGAUCCAAUAGAUGUAUUGACUGAAAUUCUAGAUGGGUAAAUAUAUCAAACGGAAUCAAUGAGCUUUUUGAGAAAAACAAUAUACUCUAUGAUUGUAAGUAACUCCACACAAGCAGAAAAUUAAGAACGAAGAAUGGUGAGGGGAGGGGAAUGAAAACACCAUAUAUAAAUUUGUUAAAAGUUUCUAUUAUGAAAUGGUUCAAUGGGUAAGCUUCUGAAAAGAUACAACUUUAUUAUCAAAGAGUUUAAUGGCUAACCUUGUGAAAAUGUACAAUUCUUCAUGAAAUGAAGACGUCUUUUUCUUAAGUGAAUCUAUGAUGUCAUAUUUUGUAUCGUAAAUGUAUCGUAAAUGAAACUGUAACCAUUAGAUUAUAUAUUAGAAACAAAAUCCACCAUUAUAUAUUUUUUUCCUAUAAAACUGAUGACAUAAGCGUUUAGAUAAAAACGAGUUUGCUAUUAUAUAUGGAUUCUCCAUUGUCAAGUGCAAAUUCCCUCAAAAAAAAAAAAGAGUACAACAAUUUUAUUUUCCGUGUAACACCCGUCCGAUAUUUUAAUAUCUACAAAACUUCUGAUCAAAUCUGACUAAAAAUAUUUUAAUUGCUGACUAAAGAAAAUAUCUUUGGAGACACCUAAUAAAAUAUCAACUUUUCCCCAAACCUUAUAAGAAACAGAAACUAAAACAAAUAUAAAAUGACAUACAUUAAAAAAAAAACAAAAAUACUAACACUAGAAUCUGUAAAUUUUGAUGAGAACUGCCAAUAAUCAAUAACAAAUUUUAUUGAUGUUGUCCACGGCCUGGCGAACAAUAACAUUUAACCUCAAAUAACGGCAAAGAGACCACUUCUCAAAAAUAAUACAUCAAAACUUUAUAAUGUGCCAAUAAAAAGACCACCACUAAGUUCAAAACACUUCCCGAUACAGCUGCUAUACAUUCUGAUAUGUUCGUAUAUUGUCUGGAUGGAAAUCGUAAACAAACUCCAAAGCCUUAAAUAUUUGGAAAAGUGAGGCCUCACCAAUCAGAAACUUAUGAAAUCCAAAAUAAACCGGUAAAUAAGUUCUUCUCAAACGCAAUUCCUCUGCUCAUUUUAUAUCUUAUACGCAACUCAAUAAAGGGUUUAUGGGGCUUGUGUGCCCAACACUUUUCUGAAUUGCUCCAAAAUAUAUUUCCAAUCAAAUCCAUAAUUUCAACGUGCAUUCCAUAGAAGUCCAAAGCUCAAAACUCCAAAGUAUUAUAAUAAUAAUCCCCUAUUAUCAAGCAAAAAGCUAUACUGCAAAAACAAAAACUUGGAUAUAGUGUCUAAAAAACUUCUUUAAUAUGCUUUUCUCUUCUGUAUGGAACACAAGUUCUUUCUAUUCCACCCCCAUCUCAGGUGGAGUAUCUUCAGGCUUUGCGUUUCGUCUCUGAAACUGAUCGAGCUCUUCUUGAGGGAACACUUCAGAUUGCAGAGACGGAGAUAUCUUCUUAACAUGAAGCCAAGUAAGUUGCCAGAAACUAUCACUACCGAUAUCAU